GUCACGCUAAAUGUAUAUUGUUAAGCUGAUCGACAAGAGGGUCGAAUAAUGAUGAAAUUGUUUCUACGUCAGUUGAAAAUAUAGGCAAUGUAAGCGAUGCAAAAUCUAAUUAUUUCUUUGCAAAACCUAAUUAGGCAUUAAAAAAGGUUAACGCCAGCGCCUGAAACCGUUUUUGUUUAAUAAUCCCAUUACUGACGGCUCAUCAUGUAUAAAAUGGCGCAGAAGGACACAAACUUUCCACUUGUUAAAGUGAAUCUCCCAGAAAAAGACAAGACAAACUCUACAUUAGCCGCUGUUAGGAUAUGACAGGACACCAAACGGAAAGGCGCUUCGCGGCACUAGAAGGUUGAAGCCUGUCUAUGCUCUGAGCUCGGAUGAUUGAUGAGGGAUGAGGGCAAGGCCGAGCACGCACAGCAUAAAGACCCAUACACGGCUCAAUAAAGCCGGGCCUGAGCGGGGACCGGGCGCGCUCAAUAGACGCUGGCGCGGGGAGACGGAGGCCAACGGCAGAGAGGAAGGUGCUCUGUUGUCCCAUAAUCCAGUUAGCCAUUGAGCCACCAGCCGUCUGCAGCACGAUAGAGAGCAGCAGCGAAGGAUGUCCGAGGACAGAAAGGUUGGACAGCCCGGAGGGGGGUUUGGAGAGAGGCACAGCUCGCGCCCCGCUGAGAAACACAGAGCAGGAGCUGAAAGAGACGAAUAAAGCAGUCAGCCUGGAACAAACGCCAAAGAGAAGGGCGAAUUAAAGGAGAUAUAUACCGUAUAGACUUCAUCUAACGCGCAGAUGAAGGUCUGCUGUAAGAAAUCAAGUUAUAAACCAUUAUCAGCACAUUAUUAUUAUUAUAUAAUUCACACAAUUGCACAAAUUAUAUAACCUGUUGAAUGAAACAACAGGGAUUUUUUUCCCUAUAAUAGGACUUUUCAGUUGUCAUCGAUUCAUUCAGCUUUAUUUUGCUAUUCGAUAAACUGUCGAUAGGUAAAUGCCCAGUGCAGUUCAGGAUCCAUCAGGAUCCAUCAUCAGUGCUCUGCACUCCAUGUUCUCUGCUCUUCUGCACCUCGUCAUUUACAAACACAGCAUCAGUCAAAAACACAAUUAGUCGGCCCGAAUCCCCUGCCAGGACUGCCUUUCAUCCAGCCAAGGCCACAGACAAGGUAUCCUGCAGAACUGCCUUGUUCCUGGAGGCCAGAGAGACAGAGCGCGUGAUGGAGGACGAGAGGAGGAAGCGCGAGCACUGCUGGGAUUCUCAGCGGGUUUCUCACUGCGCGCGCUCCUGUUUUUAAUUUUAUGCUUUUCAGUAUUUUGUGAGAUAAUUCUCAAGGUACAUACUUGAUUACUCUUUAUUACUGAAUGCUUAAAUUUACAAAAAAAAUAUUUGGUCACACUUUAGUAUGGGGAAGACAUAUUCACUAUUAACUAUGACUUUUGCCUCAAUAAACUCCUAAUUUACUGCUUAUUAAUAGUUGUUAAGGCAGUUGUUAAGUUUAGGUAUUGGGUAGGAUUAAGGGAUGUGGUCAUGCAGAAUAAGGCAUUAAUAUGUGCUUUAUUAGAACUGCUAAUAAACAGCCAAUAUUCUAGUAAUAUGCAUGAUAAUAAGCCACUAGUUAACAGUGAGAAUUGAACCUUAAACUAAAGUGUUAUCACAUAUUUACAGAGACAUGCAUGUUUACAUCAGAACAGUGUGUGGAGGACAUUUAUCACAUUAUCAUCUUGCAUUAUGGGUCACUUUAUUCCAGCGCAGUGAUUUCUGAGCUGUGCAUCGAAAGCUUUUGAUUUUGCUUUGUUACUCUCUGAAAAAAAAAUUAUAGAUUAAAACAUAAUAAUGGAGCAUAUGUUGGUUGGUUGUUGCCUCAUUGAUGCACCUGUGUUGGAAAACUUGUUUCUGGUAUUUAUUUUAUUUUACUACAUCUUAUUUUAACAUCUUUUACACCUCUGUUGGAGGAAAUUAUUUUACAAUAAAGUUCAAUAUUUAAAAUUUGA